rnacentral:rRNA from 1 species
GACGAACGCUGGCGGCGUGCCUAAUACAUGCAAGUCGAGCGGAUCUUCAUUAGCUUGCUUUUGAAGAUCAGCGGCGGACGGGUGAGUAACACGUGGGCAACCUGCCUGUAAGACUGGGAUAACUUCGGGAAACCGGAGCUAAUACCGGAUAAUCCUUUCCCUCACAUGAGGGAAAGCUGAAAGACGGUUUCGGCUGUCACUUACAGAUGGGCCCGCGGCGCAUUAGCUAGUUGGUGAGGUAAUGGCUCACCAAGGCGACGAUGCGUAGCCGACCUGAGAGGGUGAUCGGCCACACUGGGACUGAGACACGGCCCAGACUCCUACGGGAGGCAGCAGUAGGGAAUCUUCCGCAAUGGACGAAAGUCUGACGGAGCAACGCCGCGUGAACGAUGAAGGCCUUCGGGUCGUAAAGUUCUGUUGUCAGGGAAGAACAAGUACCGGAGUAACUGCCGGUACCUUGACGGUACCUGACCAGAAAGCCACGGCUAACUACGUGCCAGCCGCCGCCGUAAUAC